AUAAAAAAACAAACAACCCUGGUAUCCCAGCCCUGCUCCAGACGUGUGACUAAAAAAAGGAAGAACUAACUGGCCAGUUCUAGAACUCAACUAGAACUAAGAACCUUUGGUCUAGCUAGGUGUGAUGGCAAAUGCCUAGAAUCCUAGCUGAGGAUGGAGGAGCUGAGACUGAGCUCCUGAGAUGCUGUCUCAAGCCAUAAGAAUAAAAAACAAAUAAAGAAACCAGAAGUGCAAGGCACCCUAUUACACAGGUAUCCACAAUCACUUCGACAGGGAGUUUCCGUGGCUCAGCGACAAAGGAUUUCUCAGAACCAUUACUGCAAUCUUAUUGCUCACUUCUUACUCAACAUGGCACUACUAAAGAGGAUGUUGCUACCUUCCCACCUUAACUGCCUUAUGUGGUGGUGUUCCUGUGACAGCUGGAGUCAAUAGAGAUAAGUCUGGCUUCUGAAACAAC